rnacentral:lncRNA from 10 species
UCGGAAGCCUGUGAAUAUAUUACCUUACGUGACAACAGGGGCUUAGCAGAUGUGAAUAGAUUAAGGAUUCAGUGAGGGGGAGAUGAGCCUGGAUUAUCCAGGUGGGCCCAAUGUAAUCACAAGGAUCUCCAUAAGUGGAAGACAGGAGAGGCAAGUUCAGAGAAAAGUUGAUGUGAUAAAAGAAGGGCUGUUGCAGCAAUGCCAGAGGGAGGCCAGGAGCCAAGGAAUUCAGAUGACCUUUAGAAGCUGAAAAAGGGACCAAAACGAUUCUCUCCUAGAAGCUCCAGAAGGAAUGACUGCCAGCAUUUUGAUUUUAGCCCGGUAAAACUGACUUUGGACUCCUGCCCUCUAACCACUGUAUGAGAAUAAAUUUGGGCUGCUUUAGGUCACCAAGUUUCUUACAGUAAGAAUAUGAAAUUAAUACAACCACUAAGUCUUCGAGAGUGUUCGUUGCCACAUCAUAAUUCAUAAGCUCGAACCCAUGAGAUGGGUGUGUUCAGGGGAUGGCCCUGCCAGCUGAGCUGCUCCUCUUCUGCUGUGGCUUCAAGUACUUUCUCUGUGCUUCAGUUUCCUCAUUUGUAAAAUGGAGAGGAGGAGGAUGUUAAUUAUAGGACCCAAAUGAGUUAAUCUUCUUUUAGAAAACCCUUGGCACAGAGCAGUGAGAUGUGGAUAUAUAUAGUCAUAUAGAGAGAUAUACAUUGUGCAAGUUGUCAGAAUCAAAAUGGAGUCACUUAUGUUAAAAAAAAAAAAAAAACAAAAAACUUGGCAAAUAGAACCAAAGAAGGUCAUAAACAGAAGGCUCUCGUGUGCGAAUGCCCGAUGGCAAGAACAACCACGAAAGACUCUGCAAAAUCCACAACCUUGCAUAAAAGCCAUUGCAACCUCAAAAUACUUCUGCAAGGACAUCUGUCCAUCAACUGCCUGUCUGACUUCCGACUGACGUCACUCUUCUUAUUGGUACAUGUGGCCAAGGAUAAUUAUCUAAAAACAAUUAUGUGAUCAUCCUCACUUUUCCUUUUCAAACUUUUGCCUUCCUUUACUUUCCUGAAUAUGCACUUAGUUUGCUAUGCACAGGUAUUCCCACUGAGAUCCCUAUUCCUGAAUAAACAUCAUUUUCUUUUGUCUUUUCUUUAUUUUAAUUAGUUUUUUCUUUUCUUUUCUUUUUUUUUUUAGACAGGGCCUCACUCUGUCACCAAGGUUGGAGUGCAGUGGUGCGAUCUUGGGUUACUGCAACCUCUGCCUCCCAGGCUCAAGCAAUCCUCCCAUCACAAGUAGCUGGGACUACAGCACCCAGCACCGUGCCUGGCUUAGAGUGGAACAUUAUUAAAGAGACUAAGGAGUGGAUGGAGCUGAAUGUCAGUUAUUCCUCAUGCCUCAUACUUCCUUGUGGAGGAACUUCAGGUAGACUCACACUCCUGGCCUCUCUCCCCAUCCCUUGCCUGUGGGAAGAAGCAAGCCAAAGGAAGCAUAUACCCCUGGCAAAACUGACCAGCACCUGAACACUGCCCCAACAGAGAACUCACCAGAAGACCCUUGAGUCGGGAAUUCCUUCCUGUGGGUAGAACUUGGUAUAAACAAGUAAGCCAAGCAAGGAACUUACACCACAGCCCAGUUAACAACAGGAUGCCCAUGAGAACCCCUGACCCGACUCAGCUCCCUAACCCUGUCCACAAAUGGCCCGGGCUCUGUGCCAAUGACUAAUCUCCAAAGUAUUCAGUGAAGCGUCUGCUCCAUUCGGGAUUUUUUCAGAUGGGCAUUUUGGUUUCAUCAGCCCUGCUUUCUCCCGCUCCGUGACUUUGCAUCAGUUGUCAUGAGGAUGAUUAAAUAAUUUAGCACUUAGCCCCCUGCUGUACUCCUUGGCCUGGAUCAUGACCACACCGAAGGAGUGCCCACCAGCAAGAGACCUGGAGACAUCCCCAAUUCCUGCAAGCAGAAUCUGGGAUGAACAGUCUGCAUGCCUCUCGCCACCUGUCCCAGGGAUUCCCUGUUCCACAAGACACUUGGGAUCUGCUUGUCAUGCAUCAUGCGUAACUAAUAGUGCAGAGGAAUUAAUACAGUUAAGUGAAACGUCCGUCAGUGGGAAGCCGGAGCAAGGGAAAAUUCUCCUUCCUUUCCCCUCCUCGACUGCCCUGGUUUCAUGUGGCCUCAUGGCAGAAGCCCGCCAGACUGCUACCUGGAUGCAACCAGCUAAAUAACCUGCCCUCAUAUUGAUUCUCCCUCCUCCCCUGCUUCUCCACACUUUUCCCUCACUCUUGCCUUCCUGGGAUUGGACCCCUCAUAAAUUUCAUAACACAAAUCCUUGCCUCAGGCUCUGCUUUUUAGGGAACUCAAUCCAAGACAUUCUUGGUUAAAAUGAGGUCUAUGGUACACUCAGACACUGAAUAUAGUAGAGAUGAAAAAGUCUUGGCUAGUUUUCUGAUAACUGAAAAUGUAAUAUAUACUAAAUUAACUGAAGCUGUAAAACAACCGGUACCCCUCCAAGCAGAUUACGGUGACAGCUACUUUAGCCACAUAACACUAAUCAACUGCUCACACCAGAGAAUGAAAAUAAGAUAUUAGCAAAUAAACCAAGUUUAAGGCCUCACCACCUCUCAAAUACAAGAGAAUUGAAUCUUGUAUAAGAAUCUAAUCUUGCCAGGCACAGUGGC